CAGCAGCCGCGGUAAUACGAAGGGUGCAAGCGUUAAUCGGAAUUACUGGGCGUAAAGCGUGCGUAGGCGGUGAGUUAAGUCUGCUGUGAAAUCCCCGGGCUCAACCUGGGAAUGGCAGUGGAUACUGGCUCGCUAGAGUGUGUCAGAGGACGGUGGAAUUCCCGGUGUAGCGGUGAAAUGCGUAGAGAUCGGGAGGAACAUCAGUGGCGAAGGCGGCCAUCUGGGACAACACUGACGCUGAGGCACGAAAGCGUGGGGAGCAAACAGGAUUAGAUACCCCCGUAGUCCCUGUCUCUUAUAC
rnacentral:rRNA from 1 species